UGUACUAUAAAAUGACCUUGGAAUUGAAUAAACACACACACGCAUAUUCAUAUAUAGUGAGGUCCGUACUAGCUCUCCAUUUCAAUUCGAGAGCCAAAGAUGGCGGACGGAGGAGAAGAGAACAACAGUAUCAGAGUAUGUGGCAUGCAAUUCUCAUACGAAGGCCAACCACCCAUCUUCGCCGACUUCAACCUCAACAUCCAACCCGGAUCUCGAUGCCUCCUCGUUGGCGCCAACGGAUCUGGAAAGACCACUUUGCUGAAGAUUCUUGCGGGUAAGCAUAUGGUGGGAGGGAGAGAUGUGGUGCGUGUGCUGAAUCGUUCGGCUUUUCAUGACACCCAGUUGGUGUGUGAUGGUGACUUAUCCUAUUUGGGAGGAACUUGGAGUAAAACCAUUGGCUCUGCUGGUGAGGUUCCACUUCAGGGUGAUUUUUCUGCCGAACAUAUGAUAUUUGGAGUUGAAGGGAUUGACCCUUUAAGGAGAGACAAGCUGAUUGAUCUACUAGAUAUUGAUCUGCGAUGGAGAAUGCAUAAGGUAUCUGAUGGGCAGAGGCGUCGAGUCCAAAUCUGCAUGGGUCUUCUUCAUCCUUUCAAGGUCCUUUUGCUAGAUGAAAUUACAGUUGACCUGGAUGUUGUUGCUAGAAUGGAUUUACUUGACUAUUUCAAGGAAGAAUGCGAACAGAGAGGAACCACAAUAGUAUAUGCAACCCAUAUUUUUGAUGGCCUGGAGACAUGGGCAUCACAUCUGGCAUACAUCCAAGAUGGUGAGUUGAGGAGGUCAGAGAAGUUAUCAGAGGUUCAUGAGUUGAAGAAUUCAUCCAAUUUGCUUUCAGUGGUUGAGUCAUGGCUCCGUACUGAAACCAAAUGUGAGAAAAAGAAACAUGUUAACCCUCCUGCCCAAGUCCAGAAGACAUCUACUUUGGGUACUUCUCCUUUUAUGUCAUCCAGACACAUGGCAUACUAUCGUUAAUCUUUCUGCAGUUUAUUCUUUGUCUUAUUGAUCAAAUAAACCUCAAAAUAGGAAUUCAAUUCAAAGCCAAAUGUAGAAGAGAAAUGACAAAAGCUUUUAAGCAAUAUGUCAGCAUUGCUCAAUGCUGUUUCAUACUUGUAAAAUUCUUAUUUUCUUGAGUGAUAGUGUUACUUUUUAGUAGCUCCUACGGAGAUUGGGGAUAUCAAUAGCUAUCUGAUUUGUUGGCUACAUGGCGAAGCCAUAAUAUUCUGCCGCUGGCAGAUAAUAAUGUAUCAAAUCACAUUAUUAUUCAUAUUUGGCUACAUUAUUUUGGUUUUCGAGAA